rnacentral:lncRNA from 1 species
GGCGGCAGCCAGCGCAGCCGCAGCGCCAGCGGGGAGCGGCUCAGACUGUACUGCAGGUCCCGCGGCGCGGACGGCGGCCCUGCGACAUGGGGAGGCGCUGAGUGGAGCCGGGCAGGGACCCAAGAGCGCGAAGCAUGGGGGUGGGGCGGGGCUUGGACACCCGGCGUGGGAGCAGUAAGGAAGGUGGCAGACGUGGGGAGCAGCGCGGGUACCAAGAUCGAGGGAACCGGGAUGGGAUCAUGGUCACAGGGAACAGAGAGCAUGACAGAUAGGAGGGACGUCCCAACCAGGCUCAGGAAGAGAUGAAACGACUCCACACCUGGCAGAGCACACAGAGGUUCUGAGUUGGUAACUCCCCCAACAGCUGGUUAUGGAAACCACAAACACCUCCAUCUGACUGAUAUCUCCUCUCCUGCAGUCUUAGCGAUCGCUCCCUGCACACAUUUGGUGUGACACCGGCUCUCUCCCCCAGCACAUAAACAAGUGUCUCUGCUCUACAAUAAAGGCUCACUUUCUGUUC